rnacentral:rRNA from 1 species
GAUGAACGCUGGCGGCGUGCCUAAUACAUGCAAGUCGAGCGGACGGACGAUAAGCUUGCUUCUCUGAUGUUAGCGGCGGGCGGGUGAGUAACACGUGGAUAACCUACCUAUAAUACUGGUAUAACUUCGGAAAACCGUAGCUAAUACCGUAUAAUAUUUUGAACCACAUGGUUCAAAAGUGAAAGUCGGUCUUGCUGUCACUUAUAGAUGGAUCCGCGCUGCAUUAGCUGGUUGGUAAGGUAACGGCUUACCAAGGCAACGAUGCAUAGCCGACCGCAGAGGGGGAUAGGCGACAUUGGAACUUGGACACGGACAUUAGUACUAAGGGAGGGAGCAGUAUGGAACGGUCGGCAAUGGGCGAGAGUAUUACGGAGCGAGGGGACGUGAGUGAUGACGGCCCUGCGAGCGUAAAACUGGGUUAUUAGGGAAGAACAUAUGUGUAAGGUGAUGAGGCGAUCUUGACGGUACUUGAUAAGGAAGCCACGGCUAACUACGUG